GCCACAAGGCCCUUUAUGGAUCAGGUUUGACACCCCUGGUUUAGAGGCUUUCAUCAGUACAAGCAACCAGGAAACCGAAGGAACAGCGUUUCACACAAAGGCAACGGACAAACGACGAAGUUUGUGGAUUAUGUAAUGUUAAAAGUGUCAGCCGGUAUACUACGACACUGCACGUUUCAUUAGUAGUGGUUGUAAAAACACGCCUGAAUAUUUCAUAUUUCCUGCACGUAAUCUUAUUGACAUUGACUGAACACUGCCCCCUGGUGGACUGAAUAUCAUAUUUAAUUUUGAUGCCGAGGUGUUAGUGAGGCAUUUAAGAAUAAUAUAAUUAAUAAAAGUUCGAAUACUAUUCGAAUGUCUAGAUUAAUUUCCAAACGAACUUCGAAUAUGAUUUUUGGGCCAAGGUCAAAGCCCUACUGUAGACAUUUGCUCAUGACACUGCAAUUGUGGGUUUUUUACCAGGUGAUGAAACUUGCAACAGUACAGACAAGGUAGACCAGUUCUAUACUUAGUGCAAUGAAAUAUACCAGCAUUUAAUUAAAGAAGUAAAUAAUAUAUAGUUUAAUAUAUAGAUAUAUAAAUUAUUUGAUAUAUAUUAUAUAAUGUGUGUGUGUGUGUGUGUGUGUGUGUGUAUGAAAUGAGCAAAACUCUUGAAUGAAGGCAAUGAAGGCAAAACUGUUACAAGAUGCUCAAAGGCACAAAAAACUAUUUUUAAGGAAACUGCAUAUCUUUAUGGUUGAUAGAGUGAUUUUAAGAUGUAACUGUAAGAUAACUUAAUGCAACGUAAUGCAACUAGGUUAACUUUAGGUAACUUUCAAACAGUAUUUGGUGACCAUUUCUAUUCAGUGUUGGGGACGUGGUCUAUCUGUUCAAAACAGGAACAUGGUUACACUGGUACAAACUGAAAACUGACCCACACACACACACACACACACAAUGAACUGUAAUGAACUGUAAUGCCCAUGAAUCCCUUGUUGACAGCUGACCAGCAAUCAGCUGUUGUGCAAACAAAAUCAAGCUCGGCAAGUUCACUUUUUAAUUUAUUAAUAACCUCCAUAAAUUCUCUGUUCAGCAGUCCCUGCACUUGCUUUCUUGAAGGCACAUGUCUGGUUGGUUGCAAACCUGUCACUAGUCUGAUGAACGAGGGUUUCUCAACUUUGCUUAGAGGUUGUAAAUCUUCCACAAUGUAGUCGAUAAUCAGUUUAUCUACCUGCUCCUGGGAGAUCACGGACCUCUUGAAGGCAGCUGGCAGUGUAAUUUGCGUUUGGGGGGGUUGGCAGGGGGAGGGUGUUUUCUUUGCCUUUCCUCCCUUUUGACCCUCGAGGACGUGCAUAUAUGCAUUAACGCUGGAUGGGUGCUUCAACUCGAUGUGUCGUUUCAAAUUCGAGAACGAAGUUGUUGAAGUCCUUAUUUGUUUUUUCUGAGCAGGUGGACAUAUCUUACACAGAAAGGUAAGGUUUUUGCCGUCGGGGUCUUGGUGUGACAGUGUGUACAAUUGUCUUAAAUGUUCAUAAUCAGUGUCUGUGCUCUCCGUGCCAUCACUUCCACUAGCCAUUUUUUUAAAUUGCAGCGCUUUCUCUCUCUCUCGUCAUUGGUCUCUCACACACUCCUUCUCUCGCUCCAGCCCAUUUUCCUCCUCGCUCUCAUCGUUGCCUGCUACGCCUACCCCGCCCUGCUGCAAUUCAUCAUGGGUAUAACUGUCAUCAGUUACAUAAAUGGCAUGAAUAAUAUUUCUAAUAUAUAAAUUAGUUUUGUAAUUUUAUUUCUUUAUUGGGGGCAUGAUUUUUAUGGUGCGCCAUAUUUUUUGUGUUGUAUUUGUUGUGUUUGUAUUGGGGCGGAACCUAUUAUUGGAGCUACGCUCUGGGGGACAUAAUUUAUGACCGUAAAACAAAGGGAAUAUCUUCAGAAACGGCGGUAAUCCAGUCUUUUGCAUAUCAGGACUAAAGGACACUUUAUGCAUUGUUUGUGAGAUGCAUUUGAUGAACAUUGCGUGAAGAAUGUAACACGGACAUUUAAAGUUUGUAUGGAACCCAGGUUUGGAAUAUUGUUCGAGAAGAAAUGUUCUGAAGAAUGACGAAGCUUUUUGUGCAAGGAACCUAGCUCCUUUUGGUAACAAGCUGCCAGCGAGGUAAGCUUAUGUCUCUAAAUAGUUGUUAAUAUUACCUAUGUUUGUAUAGCAUGAUCUGCAUUAGUUUAAUUGUUGUUUGUUAUUGUCAGUUUUCACGGGACCAAGCAGAAUAAAGAGCGCCCUGUGGUUUAAACGAAAACUCUGUUUCCUCGUGUUACUGGGGGAGCUACAGUGAAAACUCGGAUGUCAACACCCAAGGCGUGUGGAGAAGCGAGCGGCAAGCCAUCGUCAUCGCUUCGUAUUCGUCAGCGCCUCUUCGGAGAGACGACGCACGAGAGCUACUUUGCCGUCCGCAGUACGGUGCAGGUGCCAUUGUUUUGCUAGCGUAUGCUCAACAUUUUGAACAGACUUUUGCAGAGACUUCGGUUUGAGCUCUGUAGGAAUUCAUUUGAAUGGUGUUUGACUACAACAAGAGACUCUUGGGUUUGAAUUCACAUUUAAAAGGGACAGUGUUCAUAUCUAUGUCAAUCUAUGUUUUCUUUGUUGGUUAAUAACUUUUGGUUUGAUGAUAGUCCCUUGGUUUAGACCAUUUCAAUACCACAAUGGCAGGUUGUAGCAUUAUGUAUGAUCACAGAAAUGUGUAUGAGUAACCUAACAGUUAUUGCAAAUGCUUAUUUAAAUAGAUAUCUUUAAGGUUGGAUAAACUUAAUGUAAAGUUCACUCUUAUUGAUCUUAAACUAAUUAUUAAGACCUGAUGUUAAGUAAGCUGAAUUUAGGCUAAUAUAUUUAGUUAUUUCAAUCUUUUGACAACCUAACUUUAAGUUAAAAGGGUUUUACCUUUUAAUAAUUAUUGCAGUUCUCUGAGAUUUAAGCAGAAAGUGAGACAUAAAACCAGGAACAUAUUACUUCUUUUUCUCUAACUUAAAUGUCAUUCUGAAUUCAUAAAGAUUAAGAUAGGUUCACUAAAAUGUCUGUGUCAGGUAGUGUAAUUGAGAAUGACAGAGAAAGUGUAAAACAAACCGUAGAGACACCCACCAAGGAAGAUGCUGGCAAGGAACAAGAUGUAAGGCUAGAUGAGCCAGAACACUCAUAUUUGAUUGAAAACGUGGCAUCCAAUCCCAACUGCUCACAAGAAGUACUGCAAGGCCGAAGAGUCCGCAAGUUGACAGAGAAGGGCCAAGAACUGCAGGAAGAGCAAAUAAAAAGACUGGAACGCAGGUUCAAUUCAAACUAUGAAAAGUGGAAGGCACUCGUUAAAGAUGCCAAACAAUCGUCUAAGACCAGUAAUUCGAAUGCCAUGCUACAGAAACAUGUAGUUGAGAUAAGGAAGGCCUCAACUAAGUUAGAGCAGAUUUAUGAAGACAUACGUCAUAUCCAAACACCACAACAAGACAUGCGUCGUAGAAUAGACACUUGUGAAGUAGUAACCAAGGAAAUCAUUGAAGUUGCGAAUGGCUGUCUAGUGAGAAAUGAGCAAGAAGAAGAUUUCAAAAGUGCAAAGUCUCUAAAGCUAAGGCCUGACACACAGAGCAUCAUUUCUGGCCACUCAAGAUCUGUGCAUCGCUCCCACGCCAGUUCAGUAAUUAGCUUUAGAUCCUCAAGUCUGUCAUCACUGAAGAGACAAGAUGCAGCAGCCGAAGCUGCUGCUAAUGAAGCUACGUUAGAAGUCCUUCACGAGCAAGAGCAUCAUUUUAAAGAAUUGCAAAGACUUGAAGCUGAAGAUAAACGCCUUCAAGCAGAACAAGAAGCUGCUGCUGCUCAGUUACGUGUGAAACAACAAGCUGAAAAUGAGAAGAGAAGGCAGACAUUAGAAGCCAAGCGCAGAGAGAUAGAACGAUUGGAGACAGUCAAGAAACUGAAGGCUGCCAAGGCACGGGAGGAGGUGUAUGCACAGAGUAUAUGCUCAGAUGAAGAGAUAAGUGAGCCAAUGCACAGCUGUGGUUCUGUGAGGGUAAAGAAAAAAGUCACAACCCAGAAUGUCUCAAAGCAGCAAUUAGUCAAUCCACAAGCCGUAACCCACUCAACAACUUGCAAUGUCAAGCGAGAAGACGACACCACUUCUCUUAUAAGAGCACUUGCAGAAUCCUUAGUGGCAAAUAGACUUCCUGUACCUGAGCCAGUAGUAUUCAAUGGUGAUCCUCUUCGGUAUAAUGACUGGAAAAUCUCAUUCCAAACUCUCAUUGAUAGGAAGAACAUACCAGGCCAAGAAAAGAUUUACUAUUUGCGAAAGUACGUUGGCGGACCGGCCAAGAAAGCAAUUGAGAGCUACUUUAUGCUAGGUACAGAGGCAGCCUACCAUUCCGCAUGGAGCAUUUUAGAAGAAAGAUAUGGAAAUCCGUUCCUUAUUGCCAAGGCGUUCAGAGAUCGGCUAGCUACAUGGCCUAAACUAAACCCCAAGAAUAGCUUAGAGCUACAGGAAUUUGUGGACUUCCUGCGAAGCUGUGAGGCAGCCAUGUCACAGAUCAAAGGGCUAGAUGUGCUCAAUGACUGCAAUGAAAAUCAGAAGUUGCUCAUCAAACUUCCAGACUGGUUGACUUCAAGGUGGAAUAGAAAGGUUAUGGAAGUGGAGGAAGAAAGCCAAACAUUCCCAACUUUCAGCCAAUUCGUAGCAUUUCUGACACGUGAAGCCAAGAUUGCAUGCAAUCCUGUGACUUCUUUGCAUGCACUAAAACCAAGUGAAGGUGAGAGGGCCAGAGUGCAGAGAAACAGAAGCCCUGCAGGAAAGACACUAGCCACCAAUUCGGAUGACAAAGCUGUGCCAGCCAGCUGUGUCCUCUGUGAAAAGGCCAAUCACAGUUUAGACAACUGUCGAAAAUUCAUGGAAAGAGAGGUUUCUGAAAGACACAAGUAUAUUCAAGAAAAUAGAUUGUGCUUUGGUUGCUUGAAACCAGGGCAUCGCUCAAAGGAAUGUGAAAGGAGAAAGACCUGUGAAAAAUGUAACAAAAAACAUCCUACGUGCCUCCAUGAAAACCGUAGCAGUGAUGCACGGCCCCCACCAAGAGGCGACACUGUAAUGGUAGAGAGAGAAGAUGGCAUCCAGGAUAUAGCAGACAGUGCGUCAAGCAGAGCAACGUCUAACAGAAUCAUACAAAGUGCCCGUGGCACUCAUACCUCCACAGUGAUACCAGUGUGGGUGUCAACAGCUCAUGAGCCAGAUCACGAGGUUCUUAUAUACGCACUUCUUGACACUCAAAGUGAUACGACGUUCAUUCUUAAAGAAACUGCUGAAGCUCUACAUGCUAAGAGUGAGCCAGUCCAUCUAAAGCUGUCAACAAUGGCUUCAAAGGAAACUAGAAUAUCAUGUCAAAAACUAACAGGUCUACAAGUGAGGGGGUUCCACUCAAACAAAAUAAUUCCCCUACCAGCAACGUACUCCAGAGAAUUCAUCCCAGGAAACCGAGAUCAUAUCCCUACACCAAACACUGCAAAAGCAUGGCCUCACCUUGAACACUUAUCAGAUGAAAUUGCCCCCCUGCAAGGUUGCGAUAUUGGCCUGCUUAUUGGAUAUAAUUGUCCGCAGGCUCUUGUCCCAAGGCAGGUAGUGCCAGGAAGAGAAAACCAACCCUUUGCAAUAAGGACAGACUUAGGUUGGAGUGUGAUUGGCUAUGGUAACCCUCAUGUUGACUGUGGAGAUUUGAUUGGAGCCAGUCAUCAUGUCAUUGUGAAACAGGUGACGCCAUGCCAACCCUUGUCGGAUCUUGCAUGUGAAGUUCAUUUUGUCCACAGAACGCAAAUCAAAGAAGUUGUGUCACCUUCGGAGAUAAUGAACAUUCUUGAAUCUGACUUCAUUGAAAGAAGCACAGAUGAUGGGCAAAUAUCUCAAGAAGAUCUGAGAUUUCUGGCCAAGAUGGCGGACGGCAUCAGAUUAAAGACUGAUGGGCAUUAUGAAAUGCCAUUACCAUUCAAGAUAGAAAGGCCUAACCUACCUGACAAUAAGUCCUCUGCCAUGCAUCGUCUGAGGUGUCUGGAAAGAAAGUUGAAAAGGAAUCAGCAAUACUACAAGGAUUACACAGCCUUUAUGAAUGAAACAAUCACGAGUGGAGAUGCAGAAAAGGUCAUGGAGCAAGACCUGUGCAAAACCCCAGUUUGGUACAUCCCACACCAUGGGGUAUACCAUCCACAGAAGCCGGGCAAGAUCCGUGUUGUUUUUGACUGUGCUGCGAAGUUUCAACAGACUUCCCUGAACGACCAUCUUUUAACUGGUCCUGACUUGACAAACACGUUAGUGGGAGUAUUGUGCCGUUUCCGCAAAGGACCGGUGGCACUCAUGUGUGACAUUGAACGCAUGUUCCACCAGUUUCAUGUCAAAAAGGAAGACCAAGACUAUUUGAGAUUCCUCUGGUGGGAUAGUGGCAACCUGGAGGCACAGCCUUCCGUCUACCGCAUGAAAGUUCAUCUGUUUGGCGCAGCAUCUUCACCAGGCUGCGCCAACUUUGGACUUAAGCACAUUGCUGCCACAGGAUGCAGUUCGGUCAGUCAGGACACAGUCAGGUUCAUUCAGAGGAACUUUUAUGUCGAUGAUGGUCUAACGAGCACAGAAACGAAAGACCAGGCAAUCCAAUUAGUCAAGGAAGCAAGAGACCUCUGCAAUAUGGGAAAACUCCAUCUGCACAAGUUUGUCUCAAAUUGCAAGGAAGUACUGGACACAAUCCCUGAAAAGGAACGUGCAGAAGGCACCAAAGACCUGGAUCUGGCAUUUGGAGGGUCUCAAGUAGAGCGAGCCCUUGGGGUUCAGUGGUGCGUGGCUUCCGAUCAGUUCCAGUUCAAAGUUGCAGUAAAAGACAAUCCACUUACCAGAAGAGGGGUCUUGUCCACAGUUGCCUCACUGUAUGACCCACUUGGCUUUGUGGCCCCGUACAUCUUGAUAGGAAAACAAAUCCUGCAGCAAAUGUGUCGAGGCAAGCUUGACUGGGAUGAUGUCUUACCCGAAGACCUCAAGCCAUUGUGGGAAUCCUGGCUUAUGGACUUGAUACACUUGGCUGACAUAUCAAUCUCAAGGUGCUAUACUCCCAAAGGCUUCAUUGUCAAACAUUAUGAGCUCCACCAUUUCUCUGACGCCAGUACAUCAGGCUAUGGAGUGUGCUCAUAUCUUAGAGCAGUGAGCACAACAGGAAAGGUUCACUGUUCCUUGGUCAUGGCUAAGGCAAGAGUUGCACCUACCAAGGUCACUACUAUACCAAGACUGGAGCUCUCAGCAGCAGUCACAGCUGUUCGCAUCAGUGACUUGCUGAAAAAGGAACUUGAAAUUGACUUCUUGCAUGAGUUUUUUUGGACUGAUUCUAAAGUAGUCAUUGGAUAUAUCAACAAUGAUGCCAGAAGGUUUCAUGUCUUUGUGGCUAACCGAGUGCAGCGCAUCAAGCAAAGCACAGAACCUGCUCAAUGGCGAUAUGUGGCUUCUGAAGACAACCCUGCAGACUAUGCGUCUAGGGGUCUUGCAGCACAGCAACUCAAGGUCUCCAACUGGUUCACAGGCCCAGCAUUUUUGUGGCAAAAGGAGCUGCCUCCUGAAGAUGCCAUGGUGGGAGAAAUCUCAAGUGCUGAUCCUGAAGUCAAAGAGGCUUAUGCUCAUAACACUCAAGCCAACGAAGAUGUUUCACUUCUGGAUCGUAUACACAAGUUCUCAGACUGGUCAAGACUUGUCAGAGCUGUAGCUAGACUGACGCGCAGAGUAAAACAGGCCAAGGGACUCCCGCAAAGGUCAAGUGAAGCCACAACUUUGGAGGAAAGAAGAGCAGCAGAGUUAAUGCUUAUAAGGAUGGUACAAAGGGAUAGCUUUGCUCAAGAAAUACAGUACUUGAGACAUUGCAACGGGGAGCGCACCGAAGUAAUGAACAAACUGCAGAAACUGAGUCCAUUUCUUGAUGAGGAAGGUGUCCUCAGAGUAGGUGGGCGCUUGACUCAUGCAGCCCUCCAUCCACAUGUGAAGCAUCCCGCGAUUCUUCCUCGAGACAGCUACUUGUCAUCACUCCUCAUAAAGCAUUAUCACGAGAGAGUGCACCAUCAAGGACGUGCUUUGACUAUGAACGAGCUCCGCGCUAAUGGGAUAUGGAUCCUUGGGUGCAGCAAGUCUGUGUCAUCAUACAUUUACAAGUGCACCAAAUGCAGGAAAUUAAGAAGAUCCCCAGAACAACAAAAGAUGGCAGAUCUUCCUGUUGAGCGCACAGAAGAGGCCCCUCCCUUCACCUAUUGUGGGAUGGAUUGUUUCGGGCCAUUUUAUGUCAGAGAAGGAAGGAAAGAGCUCAAGCGCUAUGGACUUCUACUUACCUGUAUGGCUUCUAGAGCAGUGCACAUUGAAAUGCUUGAUGAUCUUUCCACUGACUCCUUCAUUAAUGCACUUCGAGCUGCUAUUUCCAUUCGCGGGCCAAUCCGUCAGUUAAGAUGCGAUCAAGGUACGAACUUUGUUGGUGCAAGGAGAGAGUUUGCUGAGGCAUUAACUGAAAUGAAAGAAGAGAAGUUCAGAGGAGAAGGAUGUGAGUUUAUCAUGAAUACACCAGCUUCAAGUCAUAUGGGCGGAGUUUGGGAAAGGCAAAUCCGCACCAUCAGAAGUGUCUUAACGUCAAUCUUGGAGCAGUCAUCCAGACAACUUGACUGUUCUUCUCUUAGGACAUUUUUGUAUGAAGUUAUGGCUGUCAUCAACAGCAGGCCUUUAACCACUGAUUACCUCUGUGAUGCUUCUUGCCCUGAGCCCCUGACACCUAAUCACAUUUUGACCAUGAAAUCCACAGUAAUCGCUCCACCUCCUGGACGAUUUGUCAGAGAAGAUCUGUAUCUUCGUAAGCGAUGGCGUCGUGUUCAGUUCCUGGCCAACAGUUUCUGGUUGCGAUGGAAGAGGGAAUAUCUCUUGAAUCUUCAGCAUCGACAGAAGUGGACCAAGGAACAAAGAAACGCAAAGGUUAAUGACAUUGUUCUUAUGCUGGAUGACAUGGCCCCACGCAGUCAAUGGAAGUUGGCUAAAGUCACUGAAGUGCUACCAGGAAAGGAUGGAAGAGUGAGAAAGCUAAAGCUCUUGAUCAGUGAUCCUACUCUUGAUUCCAGGGGUAAACGUACCUCCAAACCUACCUACCUUGAACGCCCUAUCCAGAAGACUGUUACACUCCUGGAAGCAGAUUAAAGGCUUGAUGUUACACUUUCAUCCUGUCAUUAUAAGCUUACAAGCCGUAGUUAAAUCUAAAAAUAGUGAAGAAAAGGUUAUAAAUAAGUUCAUAUAGCUUCACAUUAGGAAUAAAGAAAGUAAAAAUCACAGAAGAUUUUGGUGGGAGUAUAACUGUCAUCAGUUACAUAAAUGGCAUGAAUAAUAUUUCUAAUAUAUAAAUUAGUUUUGUAAUUUUAUUUCUUUAUUGGGGGCAUGAUUUUUAUGGUGCGCCAUAUUUUUUGUGUUGUAUUUGUUGUGUUUGUAUUGGGGCGGAACCUAUUAUUGGAGCUACGCUCUGGGGGACAUAAUUUAUGACCGUAAAACAAAGGGAAUAUCUUCAGAAACGGCGGUAAUCCAGUCUUUUGCAUAUCAGGACUAAAGGACACUUUAUGCAUUGUUUGUGAGAUGCAUUUGAUGAACAUUGCGUGAAGAAUGUAACACGGACAUUUAAAGUUUGUAUGGAACCCAGGUUUGGAAUAUUGUUCGAGAAGAAAUGUUCUGAAGAAUGACGAAGCUUUUUGUGCAAGGAACCUAGCUCCUUUUGGUAACAAGCUGCCAGCGAGUUUUCACGGGACCAAGCAGAAUAAAGAGCGCCCUGUGGUUUAAACGAAAACUCUGUUUCCUCGUGUUACUGGGGGAGCUACAAUGGGUAACGUAGUGCGGAAGCCAGUAUGUUAUUCAACUAUUCUCGGCCGGACACUACGUUCCCCGCAAUGCAUUGCGCACACAAUGUCAAAGCCAUUUCUGUCUGGUGUGAUACAUGAUUUGAGCGGCACCGGCUGCGAGAAUACAGGAGGGGGAGACUUUCUCUCGUUGCGUUUCAAAAGAGAAAACAAAUGCCACUCGAGUUAUCAAGGGAAAACAAAUUCCAACGUUCAUUUACAGUGAUGUCUGCCGUUCAUGACACAUAAUGUGAACAAAUUCACGUUCAAGUUCUUUAUUAAAACGUGUUGCGUUCAGUUCAAAGUUCAUGA